rnacentral:tRNA from 4 species
GGAGAGAUGGCAGAGCGGUCGAAUGCGGCGGUCUUGAAAACCGUUGAAGUGAAAGCUUCCGGGGGUUCGAAUCCCUCUCUCUCCGCCA